GUGGGUGCAUGCAUAUGUAUGUGAGUGUGUGUGUUUGUGGGUGUAACCAAGUUGCUCAUAGAGUUGAGAGGAGAGAAAAUGUAGUGCAUGAUGCAGAAAGGAAGAACGAGUUGCCGGACAAUUUUUGUUCCUUUUUUAAUAUUAAGAUGGCUUGACUCGGCCUAUUAUUUCAAGCAGUCAGCGGUAAACAAUUCGAUCAAGUUGCAUAUAUCGAAUUGGCCCUUGAUUGUUCUUCUAAAUCUCAUGACUAUAACAAGUGACGCCUGCAUUAUAACAUGAAGCACAUUAUAGAAGGCUACAGCUUGCAGGGUCUGGCAUAAAGACUCACAUAGUGCUACGAACUUGGACCCUGGUACUACAUCCCUUAAGACAAGUCUCCAAACGAUAUAGCAUAGACUAUAUGGAGACAUGCAGUCACUUGCAUCAAUUAUCAUGGUG
rnacentral:lncRNA from 1 species